UAAUGAUAUAAAUCCGCAAAGCGGAUUUGUGAUAUAUUCGGCAAAGCCGAAUGUGAUAUAUUGACCUGCGGUCAAUAUGAUAUAUUUU
rnacentral:misc_RNA from 1 species